rfam:Felis catus isolate Cinnamon breed Abyssinian chromosome C1, whole genome shotgun sequence.
GCCUGGGUGGCUCAGUUGGUUAAGCAUCUGACUUCGGCUCAGGUCAUGAUCUCACUACUCGUGAGUUCAAGCCCCACGUCGGGCU